ensembl:snoRNA small nucleolar RNA, H/ACA box 49
UUCCCUCAGCCUUACUCCCGGGCCUUUUGCUGUGAAGUGCCCCGGCAUUGCCUGAGGGUACAGGACCGAGCACACGUCCCUCCCCAGGAAGACUCUGUGUUCUCCUGGGGCCUACGGGUUGAGCUGACAGU